UACGUAGGGGGCAAGCGUUGUCCGGAUUUAUUGGGCGUAAAGAGCGUGUAGGCGGCUUGGUAGGUCCGCUGUGAAAACUCGAGGCUCAACCUCGAGAUGUCGGCGGAAACCACUUGGCUAGAGUCCGGAAGAGGAGAGUGGAAUUCCCGGUGUAGCGGUGAAAUGCGCAGAUAUCGGGAGGAAGGCCGGUGGCGAAGGCGGCGCUCUGGAACGUUUCUGACACUGAGGCUCGAAAGCGUGGGGAGCAAACAGG
rnacentral:rRNA from 1 species